rnacentral:snRNA from 1 species
GGAUGUGAGGGUGAUCUGCCUGCAGCACAUUACCCUAUUGAUUUACAGGGUUGAUUUGGCUGAUGCGGUUAGCUAGAAGGAUAUCCUCUUCAUCCCUCACAGCUCCAUGUGCAAACCUCCUGAAGCUCUGAGCUCAGCUAAAGAGGACAACCUUCCCCAAGUAAAGGAGGACCAGUCUUCUGUCAAAGGUAUAAGAGUAGCUACAUUCCCUCACUAGAACCUCCAAGCGAUCUUUCAUUUGUAUGAGAUGAAUUUUGAAAACUUAGUUAAUUGAUACAUAAUAAUUGUACAUAUGUAUGGGUCAUGAUGAUAGU